AUUGAACGCUGGCGGCAGGCUUAACACAUGCAAGUCGAGCGGAGCGAGGGUGCUUGCACCUUAGCUUAGCGGCGGACGGGUGAGUAAUGCUUAGGAAUCUGCCUAUUAGUGGGGGACAACAUUCCGAAAGGGAUGCUAAUACCGCAUACGCCCUACGGGGGAAAGCAGGGGAUCUUCGGACCUUGCGCUAAUAGAUGAGCCUAAGUCGGAUUAGCUAGUUGGUGGGGUAAAGGCCUACCAAGGCGACGAUCUGUAGCGGGUCUGAGAGGAUGAUCCGCCACACUGGGACUGAGACACGGCCCAGACUCCUACGGGAGGAAGCAGUGGGGAAUAUUGGCCAAUGGGCGGAAGCCUGAUCUAGCCAUGCCGCGUGUGUGAAGAAGGCCUUUUGGUUGUAAAGCACUUUAAGCGAGGAGGAGGCUACCAGUAUUAAUACUACUGGAUAGUGGACGUUACUCGCAGAAUAAGCACCGGCUAACUCUGUGCCAGCCGCCGCGGUAA
rnacentral:rRNA from 1 species